rnacentral:tmRNA from 1 species
GGGGGCGUUUUGGGAUUCGACGGGGGCAGAUCGAGCGUCGGUAGCGAGCCGAGGGGCUGCGUCCUUCGUAAAAACGCGGAUUGCCAAAUGUAACUGGCAAACAACAACCUCAAGCUCUGGCUGCUUAAUCCAAGCCGGCCAGGAUCCGGCUCUCCAUCGCCCGUGUGGAGUGACCGGGUCUCAUAACUGAAGCGGGCUAGCUGACCGGACGCGCUGCCGGCCGGGAAGCGAAAUAAAGGCAGCUGGCUCAUCGGAGCGCCUGUCGUCGGGCAGUUCGAUGAGUGAGAUCUGAAUACGGCGACUGCGCUCGGAGAAGCCGACGUGGCGAUGUCUCCGGACAGCGGUUCGACUCCGCUCGCCUCCACCA